GAUGAACGCUGGCGGCGUGCCUAAUACAUGCAAGUCGAGCGAACGGACGAGAAGCUUGCUUCUCUGAUGUUAGCGGCGGACGGGUGAGUAACACGUGGAUAACCUACCUAUAAGACUGGGAUAACUUCGGGAAACCGUAGCUAAUACCGGAUAAUAUUUUGAACCGCAUGGUUCAAAAGUGAAAGACGGUCUUGCUGUCACUUAUAGAUGGAUCCGCGCUGCAUUAGCUAGUUGGUAAGGUAACGGCUUACCAAGGCAACGAUGCAUAGCCGACCUGAGAGGGUGAUCGGCCACACGGGAACUGAGACACGGUCCAGACUCCUACGGGAGGCAGCAGUAGGGAAUGUGACGCAAAGGGCGAAAGCCUGACGGAGCAACGCCGCGUGAGUGAUGAAGGUCUUCGGAUCGUAAAACUCUGUUAUUAGGGAAGAACAUAUGUGUAAGUAACUGUGCACAUCUUGACGGUACCUAAUCAGAAAGCCACGGCUAACUACGUG
rnacentral:rRNA from 1 species